AUUGGAGAAUUGGCAUUUGGUGAGCAAAUUAAGAUGAAUAGGAGAUGCUAGGAACAAGGAGCGUGACAUGCCUCAGGGUUAUGGGAAUAAUAAAAUAUUAAAUGAUGAUAUUGUUUUUAGAAGCUAUGUAUGGAUUUUAAUACCUGAACAUAGUUGUUUAGUAAUUGAAGUUUUAAAGAGGCUGCGUGUUAUUGUAUG